CCAUGGUACAGCUGUGAGGCAGCUCCUGGUACUCCCACAAUCUCAUGUUAAGACUGAUGGCCGUAAUGAGGAACUAUGAGAUUACAAAUCAGCGCGUUCCGUGUGGUUUAUUGGGGCCUCGGAGGGGAGCUGAAGAACAGAGCACUGAGGUUCAGGACCCUGGAGCAACCUUAGAAUGAUGUCCUGGAGAUGCGAAUCACUGAGAAUAAAUAGUAUCAUUUGGAUGAAAUAAGAACACUCCGGACUGGAGGGUUCACCUGAACACAUCAACAUAAAUACACAGAAAAGGA